AGGGCACCACCAGGAGUGGAGCCUGCGGCUUAAUUUGACUCAACACGGGAAAACUCACCCGGCCCGGACACUGGAAGGAUUGACAGAUUGAGAGCUCUUUCUUGAUUCAGUGGGUGGUGGUGCAUGGCCGUUCUUAGUUGGUGGAGUGAUUUGUCUGGUUAAUUCCGAUAACGAACGAGAUUCUAGCCUACUAAAUAGAUCGUCGGCUUACAAACGCCGGCGAGACUUCUUAGAGGGACAGGCGGUGAUUCAACCGCACGAAACAGAGCAAUAACAGGUCUGUGGUGCCCUUAGAUGUCCGGGGCCGCACGCGCGCUACACUGAAGUGAUCAGCGUGCUUUUUCAACCUACUCUGUCAAGAGUGGGGAACCCAAUGAACCUUCUUCGUGAUUGGGAUAGGGGAUUGUAAUUAUUCCCCUUGAACGAGGAAUUCCCAGUAAGCGCGAGUCAUAAGCUCGCGUUGAUUACGUCCCUGCCCUUUGUACACACCGCCCGUCGCUACUACCGAUUGAAUGUUUU
rnacentral:rRNA from 1 species